rnacentral:rRNA from 1 species
UCGGGAAUUUUGGGCAAUGGGCGAAAGCCUGACCCAGCAACGCCGCGUGAAGGAUGAAGUCUCUCGGGAUGUAAACUUCGUAAGAAUAGGAAGAAUAAAUGACGGUACUAUUUGUAAGGUCCGACUAACUACGUGCCAGCAGCCGCGGUAAUACGUAGGGACCAAGCGUUGUUCGGAUUUACUGGGCGUAAAGGGCGCGUAGGCGGCGUGGUAAGUCACUUGUGAAAUCUCUGAGCUUAACUCAGAACGGCCAAGUGAUACUGCAGUGCUAGAGUGCAGAAGGGGCAAUCGGAAUUCUUGGUGUAGCGGUGAAAUGCGUAGAUAUCAAGAGGAACACCUGAGGUGAAGACGGGUUGCUGGGCUGACACUGACGCUGAGGCGCGAAAGCUAGGGGAGCAAACGGGAUUAGAUACCCUCGUAGUCCCUGAGCGGGCUGGCAAGGCGCAU